rnacentral:rRNA from 1 species
UACGGAGGGGGCUAGCGUUGUUCGGAAUUACUGGGCGUAAAGCGCACGUAGGCGGCUUUGUAAGUUAGAGGUGAAAGCCCGGGGCUCAACUCCGGAAUUGCCUUUAAGACUGCAUCGCUAGAAUUGUGGAGAGGUAAGUGGAAUUCCGAGUGUAGAGGUGAAAUUCGUAGAUAUUCGGGAAGAACACCAGUGGCGAAGGCGACUUACUGGACACAUAUUGACGCUG